UGACACUACAGAUGUUAACGAUAUGAGCAUUGGUUCUAUAAUAUUAAAUUAUGGAAAUAGUAGAAAAUAAUCUAUUAUACUUAAAACUAAUUAUAUAAUUAUAAAAUACUGUACUUAGUAUAUAUGACAUACAUUUAAAAAUUCGUAACGUAAUUUAAAACUUAAUAAAUCAACAAGAAACUAUAAUUUAUCAAAAUGAAAACUACAUUGAUUAAAUUUCUAAAAUAACUUACAUUGAGAUCAAUAUUUAUACACACUGGAGUAGCGAUACAUGAAUAACAAUAAUACCCAUAAUAGCAUCGAUCAAAUACAGAACGAGAUCCACAAAAUCAAAAAAUGUCCUCGCGACAACACUAUUUCAAAAUAAC